rnacentral:rRNA from 1 species
UACGUAGGGUGCGAGCGUUGUCCGGAAUUAUUGGGCGUAAAGAGCUCGUAGGCGGUCUGUCGCGUCGAUCGUGAAAACUUGGAGCUUAACCCUGAGCUUGCGGUCGAUACGGGCAUGACUGGAGUUCGGCAGGGGAGACUGGAAUUCCUGGUGUAGCGGUGAAAUGCGCAGAUAUCAGGAGGAACACCGGUGGCGAAGGCGGGUCUCUGGGCAGUAACUGACGCUGAGGAGCGAAAGCGUGGGGAGCGAACAGG